UACGUAGGCAGCGAGCGUUGUUCGGAAUUACUGGGCGUAAAGAGUGUGUAGGCGGUGCUCUAAGUUCGGUGUGAAAUCUCCCGCUUAACUGGGAGGGUGCGCCGGAAACUGGAGUGCUCGAGCGUGGGAGAGGAAAGCGGAAUUCCUGGUGUAGCGGUGAAAUGCGCAGAUAUCAGGAGGAACACCGGUGGCGAAGGCGACUUCCUGGCCUGUUCUUGACGCUGAGGCGCGGAAAGCUGGGGGGAGCAAACGGG
rnacentral:rRNA from 1 species